rfam:Triticum urartu cultivar G1812 contig119200, whole genome shotgun sequence.
UAAUUACUCCCUCCGUUCCAAAUUACUUGUCUUAGAUUUGUCUAGAUACAGAUGUAUCUAGACUCAUUUUAGUGCUAGAUACCUCCGUAUCUAGACAAAAUUAAGACAAGUAAUUCGGAAUUCGGAACAGAGGGAGUAUUUC